rfam:Gossypium hirsutum cultivar TM-1 chromosome 20, whole genome shotgun sequence
AAUCCGUGGUGUGGGCAUUUUUGAAUCAACAUCUUCAAAUGUUCCCAUGCCUCAUAAAAACUUUCUCCCUCCAUCUAUCUAAAGAUAGUAAGAUUUCAUUUUAGCU